AGGACGCGGAGCCGAGCUGAGAGCGCUUGGCAGGUGCGCGGCGUGGGUCCCUCAGCUUAUGGGAAUGGGGCGAGGGGCUCAUUUCUCCGCCGCCCAGGUUCCCGGGUGCGCUCCCUGCUGCCUGGUCUGCAGCACCCUAAGCUCUGCUAGUGUUUCUUCAUCGUUAGCGGUGUUGAGAUUUAUUUGCAAACCUCAGGAUCUGCAAACCUUUAGUUCCGCAGGAACUAAACAGUGGGGAGGGUGGAGAGACAUCGCAUAACAAUGAUAGACUCCGUGGGGAGCACAGACUCGCUCCCCCCAUUACUGAUGAAGUGAGCAAAAGAGGACUGGAAACCAGCGCACACCCAAUCCUGGAGGAAGCCAAGGAGAAAUCCCGAGUAGUCUCCCACUACAAACUUGAAACACUGUACCCAGUGAAACAGCUGCGGUGGAGAACGGCAUCGAAGCUCAGCCCCGCGCCCCGGGAGCCGACUGGGGAAGAAAACAAUCCCGAAUAGAAAGCUGACUCUACCACCUACAGGACCCCAGGAGAGCUGGGCAGGUGGCUGGGGCUGAUCAUUUUCUAGGAGCCUGUAUGACAUUAAGCACAAUUCAAAGUCAAAGGACACUUUGUCGGAUACUGUCCUGACAAGCAUUGGUGGCAAAAGAGUUUGCCUGAAACUCGAUCUCAGAGAGAAGGCAGAGUGCUGGCCUUGCACAGACUGAGGGAGGCCGGGCUCGUGCUCACUGAGUGCCCAGGCUGUGGAAGAGUGGGUGACAGCUGCAGCUGUGGAACUCACUCAGCGGGAAGAGGGUCAGAGAGAAAUCUGCCACUGUAUACUUGAACAAACAGAAAUUCAUCAACAGCAACGCAUGCUAAAUAUGAGUAAGGUAAGGAUAUGAGUAAACAGCAUACCCCAAUCCAAGACAGUAGCAAAAAUGGAAGAAAAAGGAGGGAUGGGCAAAGCGUGUGAAGAAUCAAGGAAAUACAAGAAAAAAUUCUUUACAUGUGUUUCAUGUGAUAGGAUAAACUGAUCAGAACAUCCGCUUAAUAAAACAAGAAUCACAGGCCAUAGCACAACAAAAUGAGAAGGGAAAAAAGAUGACACAGCUAAGGAAGUCGAAUGAAAAUCAGAAAUAGUCCAAUAUAGAAAAUUAGAAGAUCUGAGAACUAGGUCUGGUACCACUCAGCUGAGUUACUGACUUGGAGGACAGCCUUGACUCAGGUACAAUUUGCAGAAGAAGGAUGGGUGUGUUUAAGCAACUAAGAGAGUCAAUGUUCUUGAAAAAGAAAACUUCACUAUUAGACUUUUUUCAGCCCCAUGUUUCUAGAAUGAAGGGAAUUAAUCUGCAUAUCAACAAUUCUAUGUUCCAGGAACAAAUGAUAUAGAACAACCCAAACCAAGAUGCCCUGGAUACGUGAUUGGACUUCCCAGAGAAUCUGCCUAGGGUCAGAUUUCUCCACCAUAGCUUUUAAUAUCAGAUGAAGAAGGAAGCAGUAUUUACAGAGUUCUUGGAAGAACGUGUAACCCGAGAAUAUUUCUGUUCACUGAAGUAAAUGGUCCCAAAUUUGAAAGGCUCUAGAAACUCAAGUAUAAUUAGCAUGUUACAAUGCAAACAAUAAAUUAGCAUGCUACAAUGAAAGUAAUAGAAAACGCCAUGUCCAGUGGCUUAACCAAGAAGAGGACUCUGACCUCCCAGGCUCUGAGGACACUGGGAGGCUGCUUCAGCUGAUGACCACAGCGGCUUAGUGGUGACACCUGGGGGAUCAGGCAAGGCCUUGUCUGUUCACCUUUUUGGCUGUAGUAGUGAUGGUGUUGAAUGACUCUUUGUGCUCAUAAAAUACCUGUAGCAGCUCUAGGCUUUCUAUUCUAACGUAGUAACAUCUGGAGGUUGAAGGAGGAUCGGCUUGGGCUCUCCUGCAGUAGGAGACAGAGAAGCAGAUAAAAGAAGCCAGUCAGGACUUGGCCAGCAGAGAAGCAGUCCCUGCUGUUGUGUAGACAGCACACAAUGGUGUGCCCAAAGCCUUGAACUCAUCUUGAAAACAAAUAACUUAACAGUGGAAUCCUGUCAGUAACAAGAUUCGUGUCUUUUUUUUGUUUGUUGUUUUGAAACUGGGUCCCCCUAGGUAUUUUCCAGGUUGGAUUUGAGCUUACUGUGUAGCUCAGACUGGCCUCAAACUCGUGGUGAUCCUCCUGCUUCAGCUUCCUGAGUGCUGGGAUUAUAGGCAUGCAUCACCAUGCCCAACUGUAAGAUACAUGUUGUGUUGGAGACACCAGCACAGUUUUCAAGAUGGGAAGACAAUGGAGCAAGGUCUGCCGGACUCGGACAGCAGGAGAACCAGCACAGCUCCUCCCAUUGUGUCCAGUGAGCUCUGCUAGUUGCUUCACUUACUGGCCACUUAUUCCAUCCCAGGCGCUGCUUACGAGCUGGCAUAAAUUCAUUCAUCAAUCUUUUCAUUAAUGUGAUGAGGUGGGUAGUCUUUCCAUCCUCAUUUACACCUCGUGGGUGCUAAAACCACAGAGAGUAAGCAACAUCUGUCCAAGGCCAGCCUCGAACUGAUCAUGGAGGUGAAUUCAAACCCCCUGGGGUCUGGCUUCAAGGACUGUACCCCCUUAACUGUUAUCUUUGUGUGGGUAUCAGAGCCUACCUCCAUUGUUUUAAAACCUGUGUUGAUAGCAGUAGUUACCUUGACUGUUGAAAAACUAGUUUUCUGUGAGCUAAAUGUUAACUAAAAAUAGGAGUCCUCAAACCACUCACACCUCAGGAAAAACCCUUGCCACCUAGCUAAGUGGAAACAGUAGAAAAGAAACUUGAUCCCCAGUGUUUAAUAAUGCAUACAGCCUUCUGACUGUACUUCUGGCCUCUAGAGAUGAGGCUUCCGGUCUCUGAAUAUGUAGGAAGUUACUUGGGCACACAUUUGCUGAUGCCUGGCCUGUGCAGUGCCCAAGAGGCCGCCGUGUGCAGUAGAGCCGGCUCGCUGGGACAGGAGCGAGUUCUGUCAUCAAGGCACACAUCGCCACAGCUACGCAUGAGCAGCCUUCUGAGCCUUUACAUUCAUGCCCCCUCCCCCGUUGUCUUCGUGGAUUGCAGGCUACACUGUCUUUUGUCACACAUUCCUUCUUGUUCUCAACAACUCCGUGCGCUAAGGACAGUGUUCUGUGCACGGCUCACCCGCAGCUGGGUUAUGUCACAGCGCUGUCCUUGUCUGUGAGAGGGAAGCGCAGGCUCUGCAAGUGAGACUGCUCCGGCGAGCGGUCGAGAACCCAAGAGGGUGACACCUACCCGGACGUCAUCCUAACAAUCUGGACUAUUUCCAAGGGUCACACGAAGACAGUUGUUGUGAGUGAGUUGUCACACACUCCAGACCCGCAGGUCUCUACAGCGAUUGUUUCCAUCCCAUCAUGAUGGUCUGGCCAGAGCGGGGCACAUGGUUCCCUACCACAUCUGAGCCUCUGAAGGGGGGAGCCAGAGCUCAAGCACCCAGAGGCAGCAGCUGUCGGUCUAGAUUCAGCCUGAGACGAGGCGGGCUGCAAGGAUGAGCAGGGCCGUUUCCUGCCACAAGGUGGCGGGCGCUCCCCUACCCAAUCAAAAGGGGCCCCACUUCCGGGGCAUCCCCUGCACCUCUGCACCUCCUGCAAGGACCAGCCUCCUCCCUCUCCUCUGCAACUCCUAUUUCCCCAGUAACAGAAAGAGUAGAACAGCAAAACAGGAAGACACCAGGGGAGGGCCCAGCGGCAAAUGCCAGAACACCGUCAUAGCCGAGCCAUGGGGAGGACACUGCCUGCAACCUUGAGGCAGGGAGGAGAUUCUCCAAGGACACAGAGUGGCUCCCUUCUCCAGGGAGACCUGUGCUCUGCUCCGUCCUGCUGGACCCUGUUUCCGAGUCCGUCCUCCUCAUAAUGAGACUGCCAGGCGUGAUUCAACUUCCUGUCCUUCGGGUGUGUAUGAAGUCUAUUGCACAGAUAUUUGCUAUACAGAGCACACAGCACACUGUGAUAGAAGACGACUAGAAGAACUGAGCCUUCAAGAGGGCAGCAGAUGUGCUGAAGGGAAAGAUUCUUACUAAGUUGCCCAGGGUGGGCUCGAACCUGUGAUCCUCUAGCUUCAACCUCUCGAUCCCAGAGUGCUGAGAUUACAGGCAUGCAUCACCACAUCAGGACUUUUCUGUCUCCUUGAAUCAACUUCAGCAAUGUCUACACAGUGAGAAGACCCCACUUCCAUCACGCCGCUCAAAGCAAGUGACACCGUGUCCUGAAUGGUUUUUAAAUUGUCACGUGCUGGAAAAAGUAGAGAGCGUAGCUACUAGUGCCACGGCGACCAUCUGACUGCCAUGAUUUAUGUCCAGGAGGUUCGGCUCGUGUAGCACUUGUGUGAAAACUCAGUGCCUGGACGUGGCUGGCAGUGCUGCCCACGGAGGAGUGCAGCCUUCCCAGGGUGAGUUCCUGAGCCCACCACAAGUCUGGAGUGCCGGAGUAGACAGCAGCGACUACCCGGGCCCUGCCUUCAUUGAUGGGCACUUCAAGGUGCAGAGAGGAAGGGGAGCUUCCGGUGGGCUUUGAUUCCACGGCAGCACGCCGCUCAGGUGGGCCUGCGGCAGGAGAAGCAGCCCUGAAGGAUGAAAGUGGAAAGGUGGGGAAGUUCACUGUGAAUUGGAAACCCUUCUGCUUUAAACCAGAUGGAAGAAACACUUUCUGUGCUUCUAAGUCACUCCACAUAAGAGGAGUAUUUUGCCAGCUAUUAAACUGUCUGCUGUGACAUGCCUCUUUUUAUGUCUGAUGUUACAUCUGUAUGAAAAGAAGUCGAUGGCACGCUAACCUUGUUACAUACGCAUAUGCAAGUGGAAUGGAGUCGAGCAUGAGCUUGUUAAUCCAGCGUCGUGGAGGUAAACUCUGGUGGGACCUUGGCGGAGACCCCAAGACCUAACGGUCAUGGUUUUGACUCUUCCUAAGCAACCCCAAGUUCAGGAGCAUGCUAUCACUUGCGGUAGGCACAGUUCUAACUUCAGAAGACUGUUCUAUGAACGGACCACAAAUCCCGGCCAACCCGCCGUUGUGUGGUAGAUAGUCAGUCCCAUAAGCCAGAGGUCCCCAGACUUUUUGGUGCCAGGGACCAGUUUCACAGAAGAAAAUUUUUCCACGAAUGGAGAGUGGAGGGGUACUCAGGAUAAUUCAAGGGAGCUGGCAACCUGGAGCCCUCACAUGUGCAGUUCACAUUAGGGUUCAUGCUCCUCUGGGAAUCUAACGUCCCCCUGACCCACCAGGAGGUGGAGCUCAGGCAUUGAUGUGAGUGAUGCGGAGCGGCUGGGAAUACAGAUGAAGCUUUGUGGGCCCAUCCACCACCCACCUCCUGCUGUGUGGUCUCCUUCCAGGCCAGUAUGUGUCCAUGGCCCAGGAACUUGGGGACCCUGCCUUAAGUUACACAGGGAUCCCCUCAAAAUCCACAUCACAAUGCACAGUAUUCCUAACUUUAGGGUUGGCAUAAACCUUGGGAUUCAUCCCAGAUUGUCCCUUCCUGGGUUGGAACAGGUAUUGUUGAGAAUAGUCAUUUUGAAACCCACACAGCUGAACCGACGUUCCCGGACAGCAGGCAGCUUCGCCUGUGAACCUCGGCUUCGCCCAGCUGUUCCGGAUAACAUCCCUGAAGCAUGCCUUGGACUAGAAAUGAGUCUGGUCUGGUAGAUUUGGUUGAGAAUUUGCUAGUAAACUCAUUUAAAAGGGAUAUGAGCAAUCUGAACGCUACGCUCUGCAUGGUGUUCCAAGAAGAAUAGAUCUUGCAAACACCAAAGUCGUUUUACGUCAGUAAGCAUCACUUCCGGGGGAAAUGAGUAUGACUGUGUGUGUGUGUGUGAUUCUUAUAUGCUGCCUCUAUUCUCUAUAAAUAAAACUGCCCAGUGUGAGAAAAAAAAUGAACAGGAACUAGACAGAGACAGGAUGUUUUCUUUAUUAUUAUUAUCCUGUUUUUUUUCACAAACAUGGAGGCAGCUUUUGUAACCCAGAUGUGAAGGAGGUUAUUUCUCAUUGUUUUAACACCUGCUGUCUUUCAAAAGGAGCACAACUUCCACAAGCCAUUGAUAAAUUCAGUCUCAAACCUAUCUAAAAAAUAAUGGUCUUGUGUAUUUUGAUACUUCCGAGUAAAUAACAUGUGUGUGUCCCUUUCUGUUUUGUGCUGUGCUUGUCCCUCACGUGCUCUUGUUUGUUGUUUCAUUUUCACAGUGCUUAUACUAAAACAAUAGCUUGUGGUUACCUGGGGUAGAAAGCUAAUUACAAAUAACAGCUGCAGUGUUCAUAAAGCACAAGUGUACAUUGAGUCUUUUAUGAGGCUUCUUUAGGGACCCGGAUUGGCGCUUAGCAGUUUUACGUUCUCUGCUCUUUGACUCAUUUGCAACAUGCAAUCUAAGAGCAGAGAAAACACCUGCAUUAUCUAUUUCUCCUCAGACAAUGCCACUAGCUGUAUAAUUAUAGAAACUUAAAAUUUCUGCUUAUAGUAGAAACAUAAGCUCGGUUUUAAGAAAACCAGACGGGAGGCUGGGAACAGUUUGCAUACACUUUUACCCCAUCUUCCAGGCUUCUGUGUCUGUCCUCUGCUCACUCUUUCUACCCAUAAAUGUGGCCCUGCCUUAGAUGUGACCUUGCCCUACACCAGAGUGAGGAGGGUGGUAGCCCUCACGGCCCUUAGAUUGCUGCCCAGCUUCAAGUGCCACACUCAUGGGAAUAUCUUAGUGGCUUAGGUAAUCCGCAUGGUCUGUCCAUCUGUGGAGGGUUUUAGUGUUGAAGCCUUCCUGGGCAGGUGGCCAUCAAGUGUUCUCAGGGAGUCUCUGCGUAGCUCUUCUGUGUAGGGUCUACUAAUAAUUUCAGACGUCUCGGUUGCUCUACCGUGAAAUACACAAAGAUACGUUUGGUAGCUUGUCCUUAUUAUACACUGCUAAAUUGCUGUGUGGGGAGAUGGAGGAUUUUUCACAUCUAGGUUCCUGAAGGGUAGUCAGUCUAUAGUUUUCUUUCAGCAUCUAUGUCAGGCAUUGUUACCAGGGCCAUAUUGGUGUAGUAGUCAGUGGCCUUGUUGCUGAGAUACAGCACUGGACACUCCGUAGCUUGAAGAAGAUGUUGAACUGUGGCUCACACUUUUCAGAGGGUUCAGAGCGUGAUCACUGUCUCUAAGGCAGAAACAUCAUGGUGGAAA